GUACCUAACCAUGUAGUAACAUUAACAAACUAUCCACUUGUCAAAUGACACCACAAUCACAUACAUACGCCCCUACAUAGGUUGAUAUAAACAGACAGCAAAUCGGGUGUAGCUCCCCUAGAUAGCUGCAUCACUGAUCACUAGCUAGUGUGUUCUACAAAGCGAAGAAACGUACCUAAAUUCCCUUUACUUUUAUGGGACUCAAAAGUGAUUCUGCUAACUGCUUUAUUAUUAUUAUUAUUAUUAUUAUUAUUGAUAAAAAGGCAGUUUCAAUUACAGAAUCAGUGUAGUAAUUCACUGGUGUGGGUCAUGGGUUUCUCACUUUCUUUACUUACCCCUUCCCCUGUUUUGUUCUCCCCUCUCUCUCUCUCGCCUGCCUCCACCACCAUUUUCAGCAACUCCCGAACCUUUAUCUACGUACAUAAACAGAUCAUAUAUUCACCCAUAUGUAUAUUUGGAAUCCCCUUUCCAUCUGUCCAAGAAUUCUCAUUUGGCUCUUCUUCUACUGUAACUGAUUCCCAAAUCGAUCCCAUUAGCAGAAUCUUUUGAGAUCAGAAUUUGUUCACUGGGUGUAUCCUCUGCUGAUUAUUCCGACUACAUCCCACAUAUCGCAAUCGCAUCAAAAGUUCCUUCUUCAGCAUCAUAAUCCAGGACAAAACCACGAGUCAUUUUUCUGGGUUUUGGUAAAAUAUUAGAUGGGAUCAUUAGAGAUAUUGGAUAAGGAAGAGGUAGGCGUAAAUCGAUACGAGAAAAUCCCGAAGAUUGUGAAGAGAUGCAUUGGUUUUUUGGGUUCAUUAUUGGUAAGCAUUGUUGGAGGGAUGAUCUUGGUUGUGUGGGAAUUGAAGUUUCAUCAAACUAAUACUCAGCUGUGGAUGGUUCCAGUUGGUCUAAUCAUUUUGGUUACACCAGUCAUCGUGAGCGUCUCCACUUUUGUUUCUGAUAUCAACAGUCCUAAAGAAGGUGAUGAUCAUGGUGGCGUUUCAAGCCUCAACCAACCUUCUGUUUUUUCCAAGGAUAACUCGGUCCCGGAUUUAGAAAAAUGAUUGAACAAUAUCAGAGGUUUCAACCAGGGCUCGCCAUACCGGCAGUUACGUAUCUUGUCGACUGUUACGUAACGAAACUUUCAACUUUCGGCACAAUUAUCAACCGGUACAUGAUUGUAUCACCGAUAAGGUUAUGUCUUCCGUUACCGCGAUUUACAACCCUGAUUUCACUCAAGCCUCCCACCAUUAGUUUUCUCUUUUCUUGUUUUUCUGGGGAUUUAAAAUUUUAAAUUUCAGGUGACAAUGUCACAAUGAUCACUUGCUUGUUUACUUUGUGAUGUUUAUAGAAAAAGAUGAGAUGUAAAUGGCAAAUUAAGCAUGGUGAGGGUCAAUGUUUUAUCAUUGUGAUAUUGAAUUUCAAAUGCAAUAUUCAGUUUGUGUGGUC